CCCUUCGUCUUCUUGUCAAGGCACGCAUUUGUCGUUAUGCGAAGUCGUGUGGUGCGCGUCUCCAUGGACAGCAUUUGAAAAAUUGUCGCAAUUGCAGCACCGCGCUCACACCUAUCAGGUGAGCAUCACUCGUUAAGCCUUGAUGAGAAAGACAUCGCCACAUGCCUGUUUCAGGAGUCCACGCCAUGCCGGUGACAAACAAAGACAAUCACGGCAUUCGCCGUGGCAUGUGCAGUGCCGACUGUCCAUGUCCUGGCUACUUUAUGGGCGUUGAUGAAGCCGGCAACGAAAAAAGGACAUUGUGCUGCUAGAGUUUUGACUAUAUCACCCUCUAAAUGUAGGAGCUCGCAAAAGGCCUGUGGCAGUGAUUGUAAUCCAUUUCACUUCAUACAUCCAAGUUUGGUGUUGUUUUCACAAUUUUGUGAUGUGUGUAUCACUUGAUAAUAUAUUCUUGAAUCAACUUAAUUGUGCCUUUUCUUAUUGUUGUCGCAAUAAACGAGGGGGCUAAUGGUUGCA